UCCUAUGGCUUCGUUUGUCUGAGCGUCGUAU
rnacentral:rRNA from 2 species